rnacentral:lncRNA from 1 species
AGUACUUAUAAAUGAUUACCAAACUACUUUUUAAAAUUUUCACUUUUAGAAUUUUCUCACAAACUAUCAACGUUGGAAAAAAAAAUCCGCAGCGGAAGCAUCGCGGUAUUUUCAAGAAACCGCGAGAUUUGAGACAUAGACGCUUAAUAAAGGAUGGGAUACAAGAAAAUGGCUUGUCUGCUGGAUCGCGAGAUGAUCUGAAAGUCACGGAAUUUGGGACCCCUGUUGCUACCUGUCCUGCGAUACUGGAGGAGAAAAGAGUUUACAAUCAGUUUACAGGAACCAGUAAUAUCUGAAAUGCCUGGUGACCUAUGGGCAACUUUGAAAGUACCAGGAUUGAACACAGGAGCACUUAACCACCACUGGGAUUACAGGCAUGCACCACUAAAUGACCUUCAGGCCUUCACCAAAUGACCAAAGUGACAUCCUGGCAAAAUGGAAUCUUCCAACUUGCCAGCUUCUUGCCAGUAAAGCUCAUUCUCCUCCCAUCUGUCUCUGCAAUUGCUUCAUCAGGUGGCAAAGGAACCAGAACUUUAAUUGUUACAAUUCCAGGAUACAGAGACUUUAAACCUUAUACAAAAAAAAGUAACCUGAUGUAACCAGUUAGAUUUUGUUGUUGUUCUGUUUCUUUGUUCCUACUUUGCAAAACUCACUGUUCUACCAUUGCCUAUUUUAUAUGGUGGAGGCUUCCCUG